AGCAGUCGCCACGGUAAUACGAAGGGAGCUAGCGUUGUUCGGAAUUACUGGGCGUAAAGCGCGCGUAGGUGGUUCAUUAAGUUGGAUGUGAAAGCCCUGGGCUCAACCUGGGAACUGCAUCCAAAACUGGUGAGCUAGAGUACGGUAGAGGGUAGUGGAAUUUCCUGUGUAGCGGUGAAAUGCGUAGAUAUAGGAAGGAACACCAGUGGCGAAGGCGACUACCUGGACUGAUACUGACACUGAGGUGCGAAAGCGUGGGGAGCAAACAGGAUUAGAUACCCGCGUAGUCCCUGUCUCUUAUAC
rnacentral:rRNA from 1 species